rnacentral:rRNA from 1 species
UUGGAGGGCAAGUCUGGUGCCAGCAGCCGCGGUAAUUCCAGCUCCAAUAGCGUAUAUUAAAGUUGUUGCAGUUAAAAAGCUCGUAGUUGAAAUUCGAAAUUUGUCCUAUGGUCGGGCUUUACGGUCCGUACAGUAGUGGCGAAUUUCUACCUUCUGAAGAACCUUCAUGUCAUUAAUUUGAUGUGUUGGGAAAUCAGGACUGUUACUUUGAAAAAAUUAGAGUGUUUAAAGCAGGCUAUAGUCUGAAUACAUUAGCAUGGAAUAAUGAAAUAGGACGGAUUGGUUCUAUUUUGUUGGUUUCUAGGAUCACCGUAAUGAUUAAUAGGGAUAGUUGGGGGCAUUAGUAUUCAAUUGUCAGAGGUGAAAUUCUUGGAUUUAUUGAAGACUAACUUCUGCGAAAGCAUUUGCCAAGGAUGUUUUCAUUAAUCAAGAACGAAAGUUAGGGGAUCGAAGACGAUCAGAUACCGUCGUAGUCUUAACCAUAAACUAUGCCGACUAGGGAUCGGACGAAGUUAAUUUUUAGAUGACUCGUUCGGCGCCUUACGGGAAACCAAAGUGUUUGGGUUC